UACGGAGGGUGCAAGCGUUAUCCGGAUUCACUGGGCGUAAAGGGCGCGUAGGCGGCCGGGUCAGUCGGGCCUGUAAGUGCGGGGCUCAACCCCGUGAUGGGCUCGGGACGGCCCGGCUGGGGCGCGGUCGAGGGAGACGGAAUGCCGGGUGUAGUGGUGGAAUGCGUAGAGAUCCGGCGGAACACCGGUGGUGAAGACGGUCUCCUGGGCCGAGGGCCGACGCUGAGGCGCGAGAGCGUGGGGAGCGAACCGG
rnacentral:rRNA from 1 species